rnacentral:misc_RNA from 1 species
GAUGAAGAACGCAGCGAAAUGCGAUAAGUAAUGUGAAUUGCAGAAUUCAGUGAAUCAUCGAAUCUUUGAACGCACAUUGCGCCCGUCAGUAUUCUGGCGGGCAUGCCUGUUCGAGCGUCAUUACCCCCCUCAAGUCCCCUGUGGACUUGGUGUUGGGGAUCGGCGAGGCUGGUUUUCCAGCACAGCCGUCCCUUAAAUUAAUUGGCGGUCUCGCCGUGGCCCUCCUCUGCGCAGUAGUAAAACACUCGCAACAGGAGCCCGGCGCGGUCCACUGCCGUAAAACCCCCCAACUUUUUAUAGUUGACCUCGAAUCAGGUAGGACUACCCGCUGAACUUAAGCAUAUCAAUAAGCGGAGGA